GGCCCCAUCGUCUAGCGGCCUAGGACACCAGGUUUUCAUCCUGGGAAUCUGGGGUUCGAAUCCCCAUGGGGUCA
rnacentral:tRNA from 2 species